GAUGAACGCUGGCGGCGUGCCUAAUACAUGCAAGUCGAGCGAACAGACGAGGAGCUUGCUCCUCUGACGUUAGCGGCGGACGGGUGAGUAACACGUGGAUAACCUACCUAUAAGACUGGGAUAACUUCGGGAAACCGGAGCUAAUACCGGAUAAUAUAUUGAACCGCAUGGUUCAAUAGUGAAAGACGGUUUUGCUGUCACUUAUAGAUGGAUCCGGGCCGCAGUAGCUAGUUGGUAAGGUAACGGCUUACCAAGGCAACGAUGCGUAGCCGACCUGAGAGGGUGAUCGGCCACACUGGAACUGAGACACGGUCCAGACUCCUACGGGAGGCAGCAGUAGGGAAUCUUCCGCAAUGGGCGAAAGCCUGACGGAGCAACGCCGCGUGAGUGAUGAAGGUCUUCGGAUCGUAAAACUCUGUUAUUAGGGAAGAACAAAUGUGUAAGUAACUAUGCACGUCUUGACGGUACCUAAUCAGAAAGCCACGGCUAACUACGUG
rnacentral:rRNA from 1 species